GCCAGACUCCUACGGGAGGCAGCAGUGGGGGAUAUUGCACAAUGGGGGAAACCCUGAUGCAGCGACGCCGCGUGAGUGAAGAAGUAUUUCGGUAUGUAAAGCUCUAUCAGCAGGGAAGAAGAAAGACGGUACCUGAGUAAGAAGCCCCGGCUAACUACGUGCCAGCAGCCGCGGUAAUACGUAGGGGGCAAGCGUUAUCCGGAUUUACUGGGUGUAAAGGGAGCGUAGACGGUAUGGCAAGUCUGAAGUGAAAGCCCCGGGCUCAACCUGGGAACUGCUUUGGAAACUGUUAAACUAGAGUGCUGGAGAGGCAGGCGGAAUUCCUAGUGUAGCGGUGAAAUGCGUAGAUAUUAGGAGGAACACCAGUGGCGAAGGCGGCCUGCUGGACAGUAACUGACGUUGAGGCUCGAGAGCGUGGGGAGCAAACAGGAUUAGAUACCCCAGUA
rnacentral:rRNA from 1 species